rfam:Lactobacillus crispatus ST1 complete genome, strain ST1
AUGACCUUUAAAGUUAGUCCCGUGAGGCUAAGAAGGAAAUCUGCACAAGCUAAUACUUUUUGUCGUUAGCUAAUACAGAAGGACCAUCUUGAGCCAUGCGCUCUUGGUGGUCUUUUUCUU